rnacentral:misc_RNA from 1 species
GAUGAAGAACGUAGCAAAAUGCGAUACUUGGUGUGAAUUGCAGAAUCCCGUGAACCAUCGAGUUUUUGAACGCAAGUUGCGCCCGAAGCCUUUUGGCCGAGGGCACGUCUGCCUGGGCGUCACGCAUCGCGUCGCCCCCCACAAUUCUCCGUAAAGGGAACGUGUGUUUUGGGGGCGGAUAUUGGUCUCCCGUGCUCAUGGCGUGGUUGGCCGAAAUAGGAGUCCUUUCGAUGGACGCACGAACUAGUGGUGGUCGUAAAAACCCUCGUCUUUUGUUUCGUGCUGUUGCUCGCAAGGUAAACUCUUUAAAAACCCCAAUGUGUCGUCUCUUGACGACGCUUCGACCGCGACCCCAGGUCAGGCGGGACUACCCGCUGAGUUUAAGCAUAUCAAUAAGCGGAGGA